rnacentral:rRNA from 1 species
GACGAACGCUGGCGGCGUGCUUAACACAUUCAAGUCGAACGGAAAGGCCCUGCUUUUGUGGGGUGCUCGAGUGGCGAACGGGUGAGUAACACGUGAGUAACCUGCCCUUGACUUUGGGAUAACUUCAGGCAACUGGGGCUAAUACCGGAUAGGAGCUCCUGCUGCAUGGUGGGGGUUGGAAAGUUUCGGCGGUUGGGGAUGGACUCGCGGCUUAUCAGCUUGUUGGUGGGGUAGUGGCUUACCAAGGCUUUGACGGGUAGCCGGCCUGAGAGGGUGACCGGCCACAUUGGGACUGAGAUACGGCCCAGACUCCUACGGGAGGCAGCAGUGGGGAAUAUUGCACAAUGGGCGGAAGCCUGAUGCAGCAACGCCGCGUGCGGGAUGACGGCCUUCGGGUUGUAAACCGCUUUCGCCUGUGACGAAGCGUGAGUGACGGUAAUGGGUAAAGAAGCACCGGCUAACUACGUG